AGCACCACCUCCCUCACCGCCCAGCAGCAUAAGGAGAGAACAGCUGGACCUCCCCCCACCCUUGCAGUCUCUGCCUCUCUCCAAAGCAGGAACAGAGCCAGAGAGAAGGAAACAGUCCUGGACAGCUCCCACUCCAUCAGCUGCCCCAGGCAAACAUUUCCCCAGCAAAGCCUCUUCUCGAUUCCUCGGAGUCCCACAAGGUCCCACCCGCCACAGGGCCUUUGCUUUUGCCAUUCACUCUGCCUGGACUGUCUUCAUCUUCCAGUCCCACAGCUAGUUCCUUACUCCCAGGUCUCUACACAGAUGUCAGAGAGGCCUUGGCUGUCCCCCCUCAGAGAGGACCAACACUAAGGUAGCCCCCCGAACUCCUAUCUCCUUACAUACUUUAUUUUCUCUAAAGCACCAGCCACUACUUGC